rnacentral:rRNA from 1 species
UACGACCUACGGGGGGCAGCAGUAGGGAAUCUUCCACAAUGGACGAAAGUCUGAUGGAGCAACGCCGCGUGAGAGAAGAAGGGUUUCGGCUCGUAAAGCUCUGUUGGUAGUGAAGAAAGAUAGAGGUAGUAACUGGCCUUUAUUUGACGGUAAUUACUUAGAAAGUCACGGCUAACUACGUGCCAGCAGCCGCGGUAAUACGGAGGGGGCAAGCGUUGGCGGGAUUUAUUGGGCGUAAAGCG